rnacentral:sRNA from 1 species
GCGGUGUCCGGAUACUCUCUGCGGACCU